UGAUACUCCCACAUUUACUUCCCUAUACUUCUGUACUUUCAACGCUGUCUUGAAGUGCUCACACUCCCUGUUGCCAGCAACAUGGCCUCCCCCACAGCUCCCACACUUCGGUACCACCACUGUGCAGUCCGAGAACUCAUGGUCUCCCCCACAUUUACCACAUCUCCGAGCCCCCCGACAGACUGCAGCAACAUGACCAUACCGCUGACACUUAAAGCAUCUAAGCGGUGGCCUUCUAUAUGGCUGCACUCUAAAAGCAAGACAGCCCAGGAACACUCUGCCGGACAGAUCGAAAGAGCACACG